AUUGAACGCUGGCGGCAUGCUUUACACAUGCAAGUCGAACGGCAGCGCGGGCUUCGGCCUGGCGGCGAGUGGCGAACGGGUGAGUAAUACAUCGGAACGUGCCCAGUAGUGGGGGAUAGCUCGGCGAAAGCCGGAUUAAUACCGCAUACGACCUGAGGGUGAAAGCGGGUGAUCUUCGGACCUCUCGCUAUUUUAGCGGCCGAUGGCAGAUUAGCUAGUUGGUUGGGUAAAGGCCUACCAAGGCGACGAUCUGUAGCUGGUCUGAGAGGACGGCCAGCCACACUGGGACUGAGACACGGCCCAGACUCCUACGGGAGGCAGCAGUGGGGAAUUUUGGACAAUGGGCGAAAGCCUGAUCCAGCAAUGCCGCGUGUGUGAUGAAGGCCUUCGGGUUGUAAAGCACUUUUGGCGGGAACGAAAAGGACUGUGCCAAUACCACGGUUCGAUGACGGUACCCGCAGAAUAAGCACCGGCUAACUACGUG
rnacentral:rRNA from 1 species